UAAGGAAUAUUGGUCAAUGGACGCAAGUCUGAACCAGCCAUGCCGCGUGAAGGAUGAAGGUCCUCUGGAUUGUAAACUUCUUUUAUCUGGGACGAAAACGGGAUUUUUAUCUCAAUUGACGGUACCAGAGGAAUAAGCACCGGCUAACUCCGUGCCAGCAGCCGCGGUAAUACGGAGGGUGCGAGCGUUAUCCGGAUUUACUGGGUUUAAAGGGUGCGUAGGUGGGCUUAUAAGUCAGUGGUGAAAUCUCCGAGCUUAACUUGGAAGCUUCCGUUGAUACUAUAGGUCUUGAAUUAUCUGGAGGUCAGCGCAAUAUGUCAUGUAGCGGUGAAAUGCUUAGAUAUGACAUAGAACACCAAUUGCGAAGGCAGCUUACUACAUAUAAAUUGACGCUGAGGCACGAAAGCGUGGGGAUCAAACA
rnacentral:rRNA from 1 species